GUUGCAACGUCUGGAGCUGUGCAUGUGCUAUCUUCUCGCACGACUCCACUGAUUCAUCUCCAGGCCUUGCGAUGGUGCCAUUGCCCUGGAAAAGAGGCAAGAGUUUCUGUUCCAAGCUCUAGUUUUCAGGUCCAGAUGGAUAAUAGAUCACCAAGUUUUGGAACUGGGUGCAGUGCCCUGCUUAACGAAGUUGAACAUUCACAUCUUUUCCUUGAUGAGAUGUACCUCUGAAUCUGGUUUGUAGGUGAUGGUGAAGCAAGUGGCCCUGAAUAAGGGUACUAUAAAUCUGAAGGUAAAGACUACAGAAAUUUGCGGCCUUAUGCCUCCCUGAGAUAUGUUUGUGGCCAGGGGCGGAGUUUCGUGUGGUGACCCGUGUGUUAAAUGUUGUAACUCCGGUGGCCAUGGGAUGGCUGUUGCCCUGGGGCUGUGAGCAGUACUUACUUUUAUGCUGCCAUAUUUCUAGGCCUUUUGUUAAGCAGUGUGUUUGCCUUCAAACUGGCGAGCUAGCUUCUUCUGCUGCUAGGGGUGUCUGUUGUAGAAUAAUAAUACGGAUGCAGUAAUUACUGAGCUCUGACUAUUACUUCAGAUUCUUCUGUUGUUUUCUUGCCUCCAA